AAGUCGAGCGGUAACAGGGGGAGCUUGCUCCCCGCUGACGAGCGGCGGACGGGUGAGUAAUGCAUAGGAAACUGCCCAGUAGUGGGGGAUAGCCCGGGGAAACCCGGAUUAAUACCGCAUACGCCCUUCGGGGGAAAGCAGGGGAUCUUCGGACCUUGCGCUAUUGGAUGUGCCUAUGUCGGAUUAGCUAGUUGGUGGGGUAAGAGCCUACCAAGGCGACGAUCCGUAGCUGGUCUGAGAGGAUGAUCAGCCACAUCGGGACUGAGACACGGCCCGAACUCCUACGGGAGGCAGCAGUGGGGAAUAUUGGACAAUGGGGGCAACCCUGAUCCAGCCAUGCCGCGUGUGUGAAGAAGGCUUUCGGGUUGUAAAGCACUUUCAGUGAGGAGGAAAACCUUACGACUAAUACUCGUGAGGCUUGACGUUACUCACAGAAGAAGCACCGGCUAACUCCGUGCCAGCAGCCGCGGUAAUACGGAGGGUGCAAGCGUU
rnacentral:rRNA from 1 species